GGGGUUGUAGCUCAGUGGUUCAGGGCUCACCUAGCACGAGUGAGGCACUGGGUUCGAUCCUUAGCACCACA
rnacentral:tRNA from 1 species